GACGAACGCUGGCGGCGUGCUUAACACAUGCAAGUCGAACGGUGAAGCGCCUUCCUUUUUGGUGGGUGUGGAUGAGUGGCGAACGGGUGAGUAACACGUGAGUAACCUGCCCCCUUCUUCUGGAUAACCGCAUGAAAGUGUGGCUAAUACGGGAUAUUCUGGGUCUGUCGCAUGAUGGGUCUGGGAAAGAUAUUGUUUCGGUGGGGGGUGGGCUCGCGGCCUAUCAGCUUGUUGGUGGGGUGAUGGCCUACCAAGGCGGUGACGGGUAGCCGGCCUGAGAGGGUGGACGGUCACACUGGGACUGAGACACGGCCCAGACUCCUACGGGAGGCAGCAGUGGGGAAUAUUGCACAAUGGGCGCAAGCCUGAUGCAGCGACGCCGCGUGAGGGAUGGAGGCCUUCGGGUUGUGAACCUCUUUCGCCAGUGAAGCAGGCCUGCCUCGUUUGUGGGUGGGUUGACGGUAGCUGGAGAAGAAGCGCCGGCUAACUACGUG
rnacentral:rRNA from 1 species